UACAACCACAACAUGGACUGCUGUGAGCUGCCGGAAAUAUUUUUGAGCUUCCUCAACGACCUCUUCUUCUCGGACAUAACUGAUGAGGAGUACUUUGGCGAUUAUUA
rnacentral:sRNA from 1 species